AAUGCAAUUGCUGGAUCAUAUGGCAGUUGCAUAUUUGGUUUUUAAAGAAAUUGUCAAACUGUUUUCCAGAGUGGGUCUGCCAUUUUACAUUUUCACUAGCAAU
rnacentral:pre_miRNA from 1 species